CACAGUUUUUGAAUUGUUUCUUUCUGGCUGUUUGCAAUACUUUCCCACUGACCUCAGAGCUCUGGAGUUUGGCUGUCAUAUUCCUCAAGAGUUUUCAUUUUGGGAUCUCUUUCAGGAGGUGGUUGGUGAUGUGCCUUUCUUAAGGAUGGAGGCAACAUAGAAAUGUUCAUUGGUAGUGGGGCAGGAGUCAGUAGAUAGGUAGAGAGGACAAGAAGAAGUUCCCAGCCAAAGGCCUCAAUCUUUUGGGUGAAGUCUGAGGCACAGUACUCAGCUGAGAGGGGAAGGGGUGAGGUGCCAUGAGAGGCCUGAGGAGAGAUGUGAGGGUUUGGAGUCCAUGCUGUGGUUAGUGAGAUAGGGAAUUUAUUACAAAGGAGUCGACGGCUUGCCUUGCUCCAGUGAGGACCCAUUUGGGAAGCAUAGUGGGUAAAGCUUUCAAGCCCUGAUGAUUGGAAGCAGUAUCAUCCCAUGGCAUCACAGGGUGUAGACCUGGAAGAGCCCUUAGCAACAAUUUUAUCCAAGUCUCCCAUUUUACAGAUGAGCAAACUGAGGCCUAGAGUGAGGAGGGGAUUUACCCAACACCCCAGAGGGAAAGUGUGGCAAGUGCAAGUCUCUUGAUCCUUGGCCCCAUGGUCUUUUCUAGACACUCACAUGGUUCACAGGUUUGGGAGAUUUGGUGCUUGGAGAUCACAGAACAGGAGAAUGUCACAGGGGAAGGGACUUUAGGGACCCUCAUUUUACAAUUGAAGAAAGAAGAGGCCAUUAAGGGAAAAGGACAUGCCCAGGGUCAGGCAGAGAGUGAGUGACAGGGCCCUCAUUCUCUGGAUCUGAGCCUCAAUUUCUCUCCCCUGCACCAACACUGCCUUUCUCCCUCCUCAGGGUAAAGAUGCUCAGGAAGAAGUCAGUGGCGGCAGCAGCAGCAGCAUCCAGUGGGACAGCACAGGAUGCCAAGAGGUCAUCCUGGGUGGACCAGUCCCUGGAUCCCAUUUCACCAGGUGCAGACACAACCCUAACCCCAGCAGCUCCAGAGGAUAGACCAGAUGACUUACAUUAUGCCUGCCUCAACUUCCAAGGAGUGAAACCAAGAGAAGACCAUGGAUCCACUGACGCCCUCACCGAGUACUCAGAGAUUAAGUUCCAAUGAGCAACUGUUGAGGCCUCAGCCUGGGUUCUACACUGGAUGGUCUGCAAGUCAGUUCCACCCCUCCAUAACAUGAAUUAAACACCUGCUCCAGACAGAUUUGGAUAAGACACAGUCCCCAUACUCAUGGACCUUUCAGUCUAGUAAAGAGAUAAAGUAGAUUUUCACAUUAGUCUGACUCCCUAUUUUUGUCUCAGUCUAGUAAAGCCUAGUGUAGCGGCCCCUCCUCAAACAUAGACUCCUCUUCAGUAAUUGUGAUCCUCAGAGGGUCAUCUGCUACCUG
rnacentral:lncRNA from 1 species